rnacentral:rRNA from 1 species
UACGGGAGGCAGCAGUCGGGAAUCUUGCGCAAUGGGCGAAAGCCUGACGCAGCAACACCGUGUGGGCGACGAAGGCCUUCGGGUCGUAAAGCCCUGUUGUUGGGGACGAAGGGCGGGGGGUUAAUAGCCCCUAGCCUGACGGUACCUUUCGAGGAAGCCCCGGCUAACUACGUGCCAGCAGCCGCGGUAAUACGUAGGGGGCGAGCGUUGUCCGGAAUUAUUGGGCGUAAAGAGCGUGUAGGCGGUUCGGUAAGUCCGCUGUGAAAGUCGGGGGCUCAACCCUCGGAUGCCGGUGGAUACUGUCGGACUAGAGUGCGGAAGAGGCGAGUGGAAUUCCUGGUGUAGCGGUGAAAUGCGUAGAUAUCGGAAGGAACAUCAGUGGCGAAAGCGACUUCCUGGACCAAUACUGACGCUCAUGUGCGAAAGCGUGGGGAGCAAACAGGAUUAGAUACCCUGGUAG